rnacentral:rRNA from 1 species
UACAGAGGUCCCGAGCGUUGUUCGGAUUCACUGGGCGUAAAGGGUGCGUAGGUGGUGAGGUAAGUCGGAUGUGAAAUCUCCGAGCUCAACUCGGAGAUGGCAUUGGAAACUACCUUGCUUGAGGGUUGGAGGGGGGACUGGAAUACUUGGUGUAGCAGUGAAAUGCGUAGAUAUCAAGUGGAACACCAGUGGCGAAGGCGAGUCCCUGGACAACUCCUGACACUGAGGCACGAAAGCUAGGGGAGCAAACAGG